CCGGAUUUACGGUAUACUCAAUUUUGCCUUUGAGAUGGCGGUGAAGUCUGGGCCCCACGCAAUGGGACGCCGCGAACCGUGUCAGGAUGGGAACAUAGCAGCACUAAGAGGAUGCUCUCAUGUGCCGUGAGAUUUCCUGGGUGGAGCCGUCUCAGAGGCUUGUUUGG
rnacentral:SRP_RNA from 1 species